rnacentral:rRNA from 1 species
UGGGGAAUUUUCCGCAAUGGGCGCAAGCCUGACGGAGCAAUACCGCGUGAGGGAGGAAGGCUCUUGGGUUGUAAACCUCUUUUGAUCGGGAAGAAGACAGUGACGGUACCGAUCGAAUCAGCAUCGGCUAACUCCGUGCCAGCAGCCGCGGUAAUACGGAGGAUGCAAGCGUUAUCCGGAUUUAUUGGGCGUAAAGCGUCCGCAGGUGGUUGAGCAAGUCUGCUGUCAAAGCGCGGAGCUUAACUCCGUAAAGGCAGUGGAAACUGUUUAACUUGAGUACGGUAGGGGUAGCGGGAAUUCCCAGUGUAGCGGUGAAAUGCGUAGAUAUUGGGAAGAACACCAGCGGCGAAAGCGCGCUACUGGGCCUGUACUGACACUGAGGGACGAAAGCUAGGGGAGCGAAAG